rnacentral:rRNA from 1 species
AGAACGAACGCGUGGCGGCGCGUUUAAGCAUGCAAGUCGAGCGGCAAGGGCCUUCGGGCCCUAGAGCGGCGGACGGGUGAGUAACACGUGGACAAUCUGGCCCCCCGGCCGGGAUAGACCCAGGGAAACCUGGAUUAAUACCGGAUGAGACGGGACCCGCGAUGGCGGGACCCGGGAAAGGCGCUGCGGCGCCGCCGGGGGAUGAGUCUGCGUCCCAUUAGCUAGACGGCGGGGUAACGGCCUACCGUGGCGACGAUGGGUAGCCGGCCUGAGAGGGUGGACGGCCACAUUGGAACUGAGACACGGUCCAGACUCCUACGGGAGGCAGCAGCUAAGAAUCUUCCGCGAAUGGGCGAAAGCCUGACGGGAGCGAACCGCCGCGUGAACGAAGAAGGCCGUGAGGUUGUAAAGUUCUUUUCGGGAGGGGGAACAACCGUGGCAGGGAAUGGCCGCGGGAUGACGUGAAUCCCGGAAUAAGCCCCGGCUAACUACGUGCCAGCAGCGGC